GCCCCAGUGGUGUAACGGAAUUAACAUAGGUCCCUUCUAAGGAUGCAGAUUGGGGGUUCGAAUCCCUCCUGGGGUA
rnacentral:tRNA from 1 species